rnacentral:rRNA from 1 species
UACGUAGGGUGCAAGCGUUGUCCGGAAUUAUUGGGCGUAAAGAGCUCGUAGGCGGUCUGUUAAGUGCAGGGUGAAAGCUCCCGGCUCAACUGGGAGAGGUCCUUGCAUACUGGCGGACUUGAGGGGGGUAGAGGAAAGUGGAAUUCCCGGUGUAGUGGUGAUAUGCGUAGAUAUCGGGAGGAACACCGGUGGCGAAGGCGGCAUCCUGGACCGGCAUUGACGCUGAGGCGCGAAAGCCAGGGGAGCAAACGGG